rnacentral:rRNA from 1 species
GAGGAAUGUAUAGCAAUAGCUAGUUGCAUCAUAGUAGAUAUGAUGCAAGAUCGACUAUGUUGAAUAAAAUUCUAGGUAGAAUUAUGAUAAUGACAUUGUCUGCCUAUGUGUCUUGACCAAAUUACGUGCCAGCAGUCGCGGUAAUACGUAGAAGACUAGUGUUAUUCAUGUUUAAUCGGUUUAAAGGGUACCUAGACGGUAGAUCAAGCUUUCUAAUAAUGGAAAAGGACUAGUUUACUAGAGUUACUUAUGAGGGGGUAUUAAAGUACUGCUGGUGUAGAGAUGAAAUUCUGUCAUACCUCUUUUCAAAAGAAAAACCAUGGCACAGGUAUAGGCGAAGGCAUCCCCUUAUGUGAUAACUGACGUUGAGGGACGAAGGCUUUGUGUAGCGAACAGGAUUAGAUACCCCAGUAGUCGAAGCAGAUAUGAUGAAUGUCAUAGAUUAGAUAUAUAGUUUAUUCUAUAAAUGAAAGUGUAAGCAUUCCACCUCAUGAGUAAUUUGGCAACAUUGGAACUGAAAUCAUUAGACCGUUUCUGAACCAGUAGUGAAGUAUGUUGUUUAAUUUGAUGUCCCGCAAAAACCUUACCACAAUUUGAAUAUUUAUAUGUUUUGUUAUUAA